rnacentral:lncRNA from 1 species
UUUUUUUUUUUUUUUUUUUUUUUUUUUUGCUCUCUUCAGACACUUCCCAUGCAUGUGGUACCUAUACAUAAAUGCAGGCAAAAUAUGCAUACAUAGGAAAUAAAAAUAAAUCUGAAAAAGGGUAAAAACAACAGAAAAAAACCCAAGUUGUAUACUUUUGGAAGGGCUUCAGAAAUCUAAAGAGCAUUAUUGCUGCUCCUUUUUGUUUGUUUUGUUUUUUGUUUUUUGCUUUUCUUUCCUUUUUCUUUUUGCAGUACUAGGUAUUAAUUAAAUCCUGAGCCUUAUAAAGGUUAGGUUAGCCCUCUACUACUGAGCUACAUUCCAUAGCUCCUAAAAAUCAUUGUUGAAGCAGAUUGUGGUUGUCUUUGUGAAUCAGAUUAUUUUAACCCAAAUUUAUCCCCAGAGUUGGGUUAAUGCUAAAUUAGACUGAAAGAAUAAUUUAGGCAAGCACUCUAGUGCAUCUGCAGCCCUCCUGGAGUCAUGGGAUCUAGUCUAGUUUUUCUUGGAACAAUUGAGGCCAGAGAGAGUUGGGCUCUAUUAAGAUUUCAAGUUUUUAGUGUCUGGCCUGUGUUAAAAUCAGAGCUUUUAGUCCCACUCAAUUCAUUGCAUGCUUGUUUUAAUCAUGUCUGGGUGAUUUUAUCUUUCAUGUUUCUUUUGGUACACCUGUACGGGACACAGAACAGAGAAGUAGACCAUGAAGGAGGUUUGGUAGUCUACACGUAGAUCUGUUGGUUCAGAUGUUUGCUGUGGCAGCAGACCUAGUGUCCCUUUGGGGAUUGAAAAUCUCUUGCCUCAGCCAGUUGCUUGUUCUUAAAACUGAGAAUCAGCUAGGAAGCUAAUGGUGCCCACCUGGCUGAGGUGUCCCAGAGAACUGGGUGACUUUUAUGCAUUAACAAAGAAGUAAAAUAAGGUACACAGCAUAACACCUGCAUUCCACCUCAUGCUUUUUAAUUCUUAUUUGUUAUUAAUACACUUCAAGGGCAAGCUGUUCUCACAUAUGUUUGGGCCUAGUUCUUCAAAUGAGUUCUUAAGGUGACAUUUUAAUGACAUAAAGAUUUUUAACAUUUGACAAGACUAAAGUAGGAAUCCUUGUCUGUGUAUGCUUAAAGUAAUACUUUAUGCCAACUUCUCCCACCUCGCAAAAUGGCAUUAUUAUGUGUGCUCAUGGGUAGCUGUGAAUUUUUGUUCUUUGUUUAUUUUUGGUAGCCUGUUUCUUGAAGUUUUUCUAACCACUAUCAUAUAUCUAAAUGAAAAAUCAGUUUAUUGAAAGAAUGAGGGAUUGAACCAUAUAACUUAUAAAACAUUAAGUCUUGAAAUACUCUGUGAUUGAAAUUGAUUAUAGACACAGCUGAGUAGUAUGUACUUCAUGUCUACAUUAUGCAAAACGUUCCUUUUCUUUUUCAUCUGUUCUUAGUAUUAAGGCCAGCUCUGUAGUGCUUGGUCAGUUUCUACUUGUUUAUUAUGCUCAUCUCCUUUCUCUCCAUGCAGUAACUGACCCAAAGUUACGUAUUGUAAGUUGAGAGGGCAGCUGAUUUACUUUUGUUGUUGUUGUUGUUGUUGUUACUGAAAAGGGCAGCUGAUUUACUUUUGUUGUUGUUACUGAAAGUACUGUCAUUUGGCUCCCAUUUCCAUGGUGUUAAUUACAUAGAAAUAUUUGGAUAAAACUAGGUUUUCCUUUCUCUACCUAUACUAUAUAAUUCUUACAUCUGAGGAGAUCCUGGUGGCUUUGCACAUUCUUUUUCAAUAGUUCAUUAGAUUUACAUAUUUUUGUGUGUGUGUGAAAACUUAAAAAUGCACAAGUAAAAUUUAAUCCAGAUUUAACAAUCUGGUAGGGAUACUUACAGUAUAUACCAAGUAUUAGGAACUGAUGUGCAAAGUGCAAAGAAAGGACAUAGGAUUCAAAGGAUGUGUGAUGGGUUACAAUUGUAGCUCAGUUGGUAGAGUACCUGCCUAGCAUUCAUAAAGAUUACCCUAAGUGGUAGCAUGACUCUGCAGUCCUACCAUGGUAGGAGGAGAUGGGGUAAAUACUGGAGGAUCAUACAUGUAAGGUCAUUUUCAGCUAUAUAGAGCAGUCAAAGCUAUAGCCUAAGCU